rnacentral:rRNA from 1 species
CCUACGGGUGGCUGCAGUGGGGAAUCUUGCGCAAUGGGCGAAAGCCUGACGCAGCAACGCCGCGUGUGGGAAGACGGCCUUCGGGUUGUAAACCACUUUCAGGGGGGACGAAGCUUCCAGGGUUAAUAGCCCAUGGGGUGACGGUACCCUCAGAAGAAGCCCCGGCUAACUACGUGCCAGCAGCCGCGGUAAUACGUAGGGGGCGAGCGUGGUCCGGAAUCAUUGGGCGUAGACCGCGUGUAGCCGGUGCGAAACCUUGGGGCUCAACCCCAAGCCUGCACUGGAUACUGUCGAGCUUGAGUCCGGUAGGGGAGAGCGGAAUUCCUAGUGUAGCGGUGAAAUGCGCAGAUAUUAGGAAGAACACCGGUGGCGAAGGCGGCUCUCUGGAACGGUACUGACGCUGAGACGCGAAAGCGUGGGGAGCGAACAGGAUUAGAUACCCCAGUAGUC